CAGGCAGGACAGGCUGCAGGCCAGGGGCAAUCUCAGAGAGCCCCGUGGCUUUGCUGCAGCCAGUCUCUUUCUCGAGGUCACUCCUUGAAGAUUGAGAGAGAAUUCAGGUUCAGGUACAUGAGCAUGAGGAGGAGCCUCUCUGGAGUUUUCUCCUUUCCCAGUAAUAAUUUUACUAGAAAACAGACGUCCCUGUUGAGGAGCCAGCCUAAGGAUGAAGACUGUGUUAUUCUUCCACAAUUUGGUGCCGUGACUCGGAUGGCAAACGCCUGGCUGGGACAGCGACAAAUCACUCCAGACCAUUCCCCUUUGAACCCCAUGGCUCCAUAAUAGAGGUCAUUAAUGAAGAUAUUGAACGGCACUGGCCUGCAACACCCUGCUAUAUACACACCUGGUGGAUCAUGAUUUCCCAGUGACAAUUACCUACUAUAUCAGUUAGCCAGUUCUUAGCCAGAGAGGGUUUCAGCCAUUGCACUAAGGCAGCACCCACACACCUGUGAUGAGCACCAGAUCCUGCCCUCCCAGCGCCCCAAAUCUCUAGACCAUCCUGCAGGGAUCCAGCCUCUCCCCAUCCUGCUCAGCACC